UAUCUUUCCUGGUCUGGAAGACUAGUGAUUUUGUUGUUUUCUAUUAUAUAACAAUAAAUCACUAUCUCCCAUGACUGGGUCUGCAU
rnacentral:sRNA from 1 species